UAAAAGGCAUUAUGAUAUAGCAAACAGAGAGCCAGCUUUGCAUCAGGAAGACCUGGGUUUAAGUCCUACCUCUGAGAAUCUUGACUGUGUGACCCCAGGUAAAUCAUUCAUUCUCUCAUUGCUUCAUCCAACUAAGACUACAAAUUGUCCUUGGGAAGACAUAAGCAUUGUGUGCUCAUCAUUGUGACCAUCAUUUCAGAAGACUGAUGAUUAAGCAUCUCAUCCUUUUCCUGACAGGGAGAUGACAGACUCAGGAUGCAGAAUUGAGCAUGAUCAGGAAAAGCUUUACCCAGAUGUUUCAUUAUGGCAUGAAGAUAACUUUGGAUUCUAAAAGACCAUGAAAGUGGACUGCAUGGUCUGGCCAAUUCUCCCACACUGGAAGGCAGAGUCAAGAUGGCCACUUAGAAGCAGCAAAUGUCCAGUCCUCUGUGAAAACCCUUCCAUGCCAAUCAAAAAUAAAGUGCUUUGAGGGGACAGAAAACCUCAAUACAAUGGAAGGGUGAAAGAGGUUGGAGAUAGGCUCCAAGAAAAUUUUAAUCAUUACAGUGGGAAGGGUUAAAAAGGUUCAAAUGGAAGGAAAACCUCCAAUUCCAAAUUCAAUAAUAAUCCUCAUCAACAACAUCAACAACAUCAUCAAUAUCAUCAACAUAGGCAACAUCAUCAAGAUCAUCAACAUCAACACAUCAUCAACAUCCACAUCAUCAUCAACAACAUCAACAUCAUCAACAACAUCAUCAUCAAUGCCAUCAACAACACCAUCAACAUCAGCAACAUCAUCAACAUAAUUGUUAUCAACAUCAUUGUCAUUAACACCAUCAACAUCAUUAUCAACAACAUCAUCAUCAUCAAAAUUAUCAACAUCAACACCAUCGACAUCCUCUAUAACAUCAUGAACAUCAUCCUCAUCAACAACAACAUCAUCAAUAUCAUCAUCAACAUCUAACCAUCCAUUUUUUCCUAGCCCAGGAAAGAUUUUUGCUGUGUGGCUUAACCUAAUACCAUACUAUGCAGAGUACUGAAUGAGAUCCAAAAGACCUAUGUAUCCUUUGGGAGUAAAAAGAAAUCCCUCUUUU